rnacentral:rRNA from 1 species
UCGAGAAUCAUUCGCAAUGGGCGAAAGCCUGACGGUGCGACGCCGCGUGGAGGAUGAAGGCCCUAGGGUCGUAAACUCCUGUCAUCAGGGAGUAAAGACUCGUGUAGUCACUGACACGGGUCCUGAUAGUACCUGAAGAGGAAGGGACGGCAAACUUCGUGCCAGCAGCCGCGGUAAUACGAAGGUCCCAAGCGUUGUUCGGAUUUACUGGGCGUAAAGAGUCUGUAGGCGGCGGGGUAAGUCAGAUGUG